rnacentral:misc_RNA from 1 species
AGUGUCAAACACAAGCCAAUAUGACAAAAAUUUCAAUUUGGUAUCAUAUUUCAUUCAAUGAAUUUCCUUCAAAACUACAGCAAAAAUAUAAAAGAAAGCCAGCAAUGGCGAUUAGCAAAACAAUUAUUGAAAUAUCGAUAACAAGUACUUUGUCUCGUCUCAAAUAAACUUCAUUACUGAAAAUUUAUUCAUCAACAGGCCGCUGUCCAAGAACUGAAAUAUCCUCGUAACGCUUCCCAACAUUGUUCUUCUCCCAGAGAGUUUUAACGCCAUAAUCCACUGCCCGUUCGCCGAGCAAAGCGCCGGCGAUGACAAAGGUAACAUAGACAGGGGUACGGCGCAUAACCAGCCUGUAAAAUCCUUCAAGAACACCACCACCACUUCUUCUAGCAGCUGAUUCCAUUUUCUGAGCUUAAAAUCCCUUCUGGGUUUCGCUUAGAUUUGCUAAUUUGUAGAGAAAACAGAUGAAUUUUGAGAAAAUGCGAUGAUUUGUUUUGAGGUUUGAG